CCCGUCCCCCUCGAUGGCAUUGUGGGUACGGCUGCUGUGUCACCUGUGCAUCUAUGGGUGGCAGAGAGGAGAGAGGCUAUGUCCACCUCAGCGUUCUGACCUGUGAACAUCUAGAUGAUUAGUAGCCUAACACU
ensembl:snoRNA LOC120099022 small nucleolar RNA SNORA17